rnacentral:siRNA from 1 species
UGUGAAUCAUUUGCCUCAUUA